rnacentral:rRNA from 1 species
CCCUUAGACGUUCUGGGCCGCACGCGCGCUACACUGACACAGGCAACGAGCUUUCCUUUACCGAAAGGUAUGGGUAAUCUUUUGAAACUGUGUCGUGCUGGGGAUAGAUCCUUGCAAUUUUUGAUCUCAAACGAGGAAUUCCUAGUAAGCGCGAGUCAUCAACUCGCGUUGAUUACGUCCCUGCCCUUUGUACACACCGCCCGUCGCUACUACCGAUUGAAUGGCUUAGUGAGGCCUCAGGAUCCGCGCUUAAUGUGUGGAGAAUUUGGACAAACUACGUCAUUUAGAGGAAGUAAAAGUCGUAACA